AGAGAUCCUGGAAACAAGGCUAUGAAUGCAGUAGGAGAGAAAAGCAUCAAUAACAACACAAUGUGGAAUGUGUUAUCUACUCAGCCAGUAUUGAAUGAGGACACCAUCUACACUGCCUUGAUGUGUGCUGCUAGGCCAGAGAUCUACAGUUCACGUCUGAGGAAACUCCCUGAUAAUUAACACUCUAUGUAUUUUUAAGACUCCGUUAAAAGCCUACCUCUUUAAUCAGCGAUAAAUCAAAGUUUAUUUUGCUUAUUUUUGAUACAUUAUUCCUCAUAUAAUUUGUCAUGUCAUUCCUCCCAGCAUUUUUAUUAAAUUCUUUGUAGUUUUUCAUCUUGCAUUUCAUAUUUUUGCUUUACCGGUAUUCACUUGGUGUAGGCUUAUAUAAUCUAUGUUUUGUAUUUUUUAAACCCCAUAUCUUAAUCGAGUGAAAUUGAGUGAGAUGUAGAAAUAUAUUUCACGAACUCACUCUUUGCCAAUCAAUUUACACAAAUUCAUAGUUCAGAAUCUAACUUGCCAUUGAUUACAAAUGUUUAUGAAAUGGGGUCCAGAGUGUAUUAAGCGUACAUAUUUAAAUGUCGACACUUUAUUGUCAUGUUAAACAAUCGUACUACAACAAUUUUACAUGUUUGGUGGUAGGUUUUUUAUGAAGCAGAUUUACUUGUUUGUCAGAGUGAUUGGAUGUUGGGAGAAUUGGUUUCUAGAGUAAGACUUGUUUUAAAAAUGCAGAUCGAAAAGCCCUGUUCAUAUCCAUAUAUUGAAGGGUCUUUCGUUUUGUUCAUUUUCAUAAUUUAGAUUUUAUUUCCAUAAAUCUUUGAAGUUGCAAAACUGCUAUAACUACCUGAUUGAUUACUGAGGUGAACAACCAUUGUAUAUAUAAUAACUGGAUUUAUAAAGCGCUUUCGCCCAAGGAUACAAAGUGAUGCUAUUGUUACCCCAGCUUUAGCUGCACUGCCUAUAUAGGCGCUCAAGCAUUCAAGGAAUUUCUUCCUACCGGGUACCCAUUCACCUCUUCUGGGUUGAGUGCAGCACAAUGUGGUUGAAUUUCUUGCUGAAGGAAAACACUGUGGCAGGUAAUCAAACCCACGUUCCUCCGAUUGAAAGACAAGUGUUAUAACCGCUAGACUCCGACGUCCCCAGGUAUGACAAGUAUGAAGUGAAUAGCAAGUACUAGUAUUCUCAAUUGAUAUGCUAGGUGAAAUAAGGUACAUAAAACAGAAAUGUGGAGGAAACCUUAGAAAGGAAUAUGCUUAUAGAUGUAUAUAGGUUCCUUUCAAAUUAUUUUCAAUAAUGCACUUAACAACAUUCAAUUCCAAUGUAUAGUCAGCUGUGGUGGUUUUGGUGUAAUUGAUCAUGAGGUUUUACAGGUGUAUGAGUUUGUUGUUCUAAAUGAGAUGAUUAUUAUUAUAUUUCAUGCAGAAAGCCAUCUCUUUUAUUCGCUAAAAUAUAAAAUACGAAGUUAACUCUGUGAUUUUCAUUGAAUGUAUCAGUACUAAAUUUACAACUUUUCAUUCUAUACUCAGUGAUAUGCAAUCUUUUGUAACUUGUAGGCUGUAUGUAGAAAAUAUGACUAAUUAUACUUGUGUUUAUUGCGAAUAUGUAGAUUACAACUGAUUUGUGUUUUCAUUGUUGAUCAAUCAUUCAUUGUUCAUAGAGAAUUAAAGCAUUUCAUACCACAUGCACCAUUAGUUCAUUAUCAUGAAAGGCCAGCUUUUCCUGAUGGAUUCUAGUCAGCGCUGCGCCUGAAAAUUUAAGCAUUAAAGAAAUAUUUAACUGAAAAAUGAAUCACAAGCAUUGGGCAGAAUAAGGAUUAAUCAGUAGAGCUGGCAGUAAGAGCUCAGGGUUACUGUCAAAUGCUGAGGUCUGCACUUCUCAUAUGGGUCCUGUAGGAUAUCUGUGACCCUAGCCUAGACAUUAGGAGUAUACCUGUUUUUGUUCUUCUGAAAUAAGCAAAUUUUCUCAUUUGGAAUCAAAUUUUUGUGCAAUUAUUUGUUAAAAGAGCGCAAUGCAACGAUUGUCUGCUGGAAUAUAUUUGUAAGAAAAAUCAUUUUAUAUAUUUGUAUAGAGUGAAUGUAAUGUGAUGUGUUGUUCAUCCUGAUGGUUUGACAACCAAUUUCAUUUUUAUGAAAUAAUUAUUGAGAAUGUGGUAUCUUUUGAAGCUCUUUCAUACUUGCCUUUUAUGUGAUUGGAAUAUAUUUUCUUUUAUUUCAUUUACUUUUAUUAAUUUUGUUUUAAUCAUUGAAGUCAUUGUAUUCCAUAAAUUAUAUGUAUGGCAGCUCCUUUUACAGAAGAAGGAACAACAAUUUCUUUGAAAAAGAUAUUUCAAAUCAGCAACUGCAUUGUAAAAACAUUUGAAAAAAGGCUGUAAUUAUACCAUGUUGAGAGAAAAAAAAAAGAGUUCAGUUUUAAAUUCAUUUUUUUUCUGAUCCAUGUGAAAUAUCGAUGAUGGUGUAAUACUGCAAAGUAACUGCCAAUCGAUUGUCAAAAAAAAAAUUAUCUUGAAAGUAAAUAUUCUUGUAUUAUUGUUCCAAUGUUUGAUGUAUAAUACUUCUAAGUACCGGUACAUGUUUUUUUUCUUCUUUUUAAUCAUAAAAUGUACAUGAUUAUUUGGUGAGUGUACAUAAUUGUUAUAUCUAUAGAAAUUCACAAAAAUGUCAACCUACUUUUAACUGCACAAAUUGUUAUACCAGGUAUAUCUAUGCACAGUUGUACUAUCAAAUUUCUAUUCUUCAAAACGAUGUUCAUAUUACUACUCUUUAUAUUCACGUCCAAUAUGAUUUUCUUACUGCACAGGGUUGAUUAAUAUAUUAAUUGUAUAAUGAGAAUAUAUUAAUAUUAUAUCUGUUUGUAUUCCUUUCAGCUCUUUCAUCACACAACUCAUUUAUUAUCAAAUCUCUAUCGCUUAUCAUUCCACUCUAAAUGUAUGCACAAAACUGUGACUUGAUGUACGUUUUGUUUGUAUCUCUAUAUUACAAUCAUGCAAUGAUGGUAACAAAUAAAAUCAUUUAUUUGCAAAACA